rnacentral:rRNA from 1 species
GGCGGACGGGUGAGUAACACGUGGGCAACCUGCCUGUAAGACUGGGAUAACUCCGGGAAACCGGGGCUAAUACCGGAUAACUCUUCUCUCUGCAUAGAGAGAAGAUAAAAGAUGGCUCCGGCUAUCACUUACAGAUGGGCCCGCGGCGCAUUAGCUAGUUGGUGAGGUAGGGGCUCACCAAGGCGACGAUGCAUAGCCGACCUGAGAGGGUGAUCGGCCACACUGGGACUGACACACGGCCCAAACUCCUACGGGAGGCAGCAGUAGGGAAUCUUCGGCAGUGGACGAAAGUCUGACCGAGCAACGCCGCGAGAGUGAGGAAGGCCUUCGGGUCGUAGAGCUCUGUUGUCAGGGAAGAACAAGUACCAGUCGAAUAGGGCGGUACCUUGACGGUACCUGACCAGAAAGCCACGGCUAACUACGUGCCAGCAGCCGCGGUAAUACGGAGGUGGCAGGCGUUGUCCGGAAUUAUUGGGCGAAACGCGGGCGCAGGCGGUCUCUUAAGUCUGAUGUGAAAGCCCACGGCUCAACGGUGGAGGGUCAUUGGAAGCUGGGGGACUUGAGUACUGAAAAGGAAAGUGAAAUUCCAGGGGUAGCGCUGAAAUGCGAAAAUAUGGGGAGGAACACCGGUGGAAAAGGCGUUU